UCCGCCGUUCAACGAAAUAAGCCACAAAAUUGCAGCAGCCUGCCAUUGAAUAAAAAAAACAAAUCUUUAAUCCCAUAAUGGAUUCAGGAUAUUCAGCAGCAAUGCUAGCAACCAAAGCUUUACCUUCUCUCUCUAUCCUCCGUCUCUCCCGCCCUCUCAUCACGCGCUCCGCUGCGCCACGGUUGCUCCCUUCUCCCUUGUUCUCGGCUGCUCACGUUAGUUUGGCUGAUGGAAACGUAAGUGAAGAAAAAGAGAAAUGGGAUUCCUCGAACGACAAGAGUGAAGCGUUUGCGUUUGAAGACGCUGAUGGGGUUUUGGCGGGGGACGAUAUGAAACUUUUGGAGGCGCGGGUGAUUAAAGUUAAGGAGCUAGAAGAGUUACCGGAGCUGUGGCGAAGGUCGAAGCUAGCUUGGCUUUGUAAAGAGUUGCCUGCUCACAAGGCGAGGACUUUGGUGAGGAUAUUGAAUGCGCAAAAGAAGUGGAUGAAACAAGAGGAGGCUACUUACUUGGCCUAGCUUUGUACAGGGUUGGUCUUCUUUUCUGAUUUAGCUUUGUGUUUACUUUGAAACAAAUUCUGAAUUGGGUUUAAUUUGUUCUUGAGUGUGGUUACUCUUCUCCUACACAAUCUGCAAUAGUAAAGGAUCUUGGAUUAACAGUCUCACAGUUCUCUCUUUUCGAUUCUUUAUCGAAUGUGGGUGCCAGGGUUGGAGCAUUAGCCAGUGGUCAGAUAGCCAACUAAAUAGAACGAAAAGGGUAUUCAUUUUUUCUUCACAUGGGAAGAUUGUUGGAAGAUUUUUGGUGUGGGAAUAAUUUCUUAUAUGGUAAUGUUGAAUUAUGUUCUGUUAUUAGGAUGGAAAUUUUGUUCAAAGGGCUUGAGAGUUUGAGUUGUAUAUAUUAUGUAUAGGUGAGAUGGCACCUCAAAACAUGAGGGGCAGCUUGGGUUCACUGAAUUUAAGGAUAGGCAUGGGACCCUAACCCAUCGGGUUCCAACCUGACCCGAUCCGAUCAGGUCAAUUUUUUUAAAA